GGAAGGAUCAUUACCGAAUUGUCAAACACGGGUUGUUGCUGGCCCCCGAACGGGGCAUGUGCACGCUCUGUUUACACAUCCACUCACACCUGUGCACCCUCUGUAGUUCUGUGGACCGGGAGACAUUGUCUUCCUUCCGUAGCUCUACGUCUUUACACACACACCGUAGCGAUGUCUCAUGGAAUGUUUUUUCGCGUUUAACGCAAUACAAUACAACUUUCAGCAACGGAUCUCUUGGCUCUCGCAUCGAUGAAGAACGCAGCGAAAUGCGAUAAGUAAUGUGAAUUGCAGAAUUCAGUGAAUCAUCGAAUCUUUGAACGCACCUUGCGCCCCUUGGUUAUUCCUCGGAGCAUGCCUGUUUGAGUAUCAUGAACACCUCAACUCUCAUGGUCUUCCAUGAUGAGCUUGGACUUUGGGGGUUUGCUGGCCUUGUGGCCAGCUCCUCUCAAAUGAAUCAGCUUGCCAGUGUUUGGCGGCGUCACGGGUGUGAUAACUAUCUACGCUCGCGGUUGUCCGUCAGGUAACCCUCAGCGAUGAAGGUUCAUUGGGGCUCAUAAACGUCUCUCCCCAGCGAGGACAACUUUUGAACGUUCGAUCUCAAAUC
rnacentral:rRNA from 1 species